rnacentral:lncRNA from 10 species
UUGCUUUCUGCGAGUCUUGCCCUUACCUGGAUUUGGCCUCUGUGGGAAGAGCAGGCAGGCCUCAGUGAACAUCAGCAGUGCUUUUUCCUAGAAGAAGCUCCUCAGCUGCAGGCCUCUCAUAAAUGAGAGAGGAAGCCUCCACGGGUUUAGAGAUUGGGGCCUCGGGGAUGAUUUUACAAAAUUCUGAAAUGUUCUGGGGAUGGAAUCUUCUCAGGAUGGUUCAUGGGGUCAGGGACACCUGGAACAGGGCCUAGAUCUGGACAUCCCAUUGUGGAAGAGCCUGUUGCACCCUGUCCUGUCUGUGCCCAGGGAUUUCUGUGUCCCUCUCCUAGAAGCAGGGCCAGCCCCGGCUACUGUCCAGCGAGGCCACUCCUGACACCUGUUGCGUUUGCUCAGCAGAGUGGGGAGUGACGGGUUUUGUUCUUAGGCAGGCACAAAUGGGCCCUGUGUGCAAGGCCAGACUGGCCUGAGGCCCAGGCUAACUUUCCAGCACCAUUUCCCCCUCUGUCCACGUGUCUUAGAGUUAGGCCCAACCUGAGUUCAGUUCCCAGCUUUGUUUUUAUCACAGGUCAACUAGCCUCUCUAAACCUUAUUCUUCACCUGAAAAAAAAAAACAAAAAACAAAAACAAAAAGAGAAAAAGAAAAAUCCCAGAGGCUUUUACUACCCUCCGUCUCCUGCUGGACUCAAGCUGCUCCCUCCCUCCAGGGCCUGCAUCUUCCAUCUCCCCUAGAGAAACUGUGCUGAGUCUCAAGCUCCAAUCCCUCUGUAAAGCCUUCUAUGCCCGGCCCAAGCAUAACUGAUGGCUCCCUUCUUUGUGGCCUGGGCCUUUGGUAGACCCAACAGAAGAUUUCCCUCCAGGUCUAAAAUCUGGCAUUUUCUAUAUUGCCAGGAUUUCCAGAGUUUAGGCAUUUUUAACUGAAACCCUGCCCAAGGGUACUAAAAGCUUCUUUAAGCAUAUGAGGUAGAUAUUUGCACACCAGUGUAUACACACAAAUGCAAGUCAAUAUUUUAAAACAUUAUUUCCUGUACGGGUCUUAUAAAUGACAAACAUUCACCUCUCCUGGUAAGGAGCACCCAUCCGUCGUUAUUUGUAGCUCAGCAGAACACACACAUUCUUGUGUGUCACUCAUCAAAGCAAAUUGCCUGUCCUUUCUUUUUUCUGACAUUACCAAACUGUGAUUUACGAUAAUAAAAUAUGCAUUUUUCUAUUGUGUAAGAAUUUGGAUGAAAUCCCAGCAUGGAGAACAAAGAUUGAUUUGAGCCCUGACAUUCAGAAGGGAAGUACAGGCCCCACCUGUGGAAGGCGGAAGGGGCUGGUGCAUGGCGGUGCCUUCCUACAGUGCAGGUAGGAGGAGGCCAGUGACUCAUGAGGGACAUUCCAAGAGGUCAAGAGGUGUUGAUUCCUCUUGACCAAGGUGUCAUUCCAAGGUGUCAAGAGGAGAUCCAGAGUUGGGCU